rnacentral:sRNA from 1 species
UUUCUUUUCCUCUAGGCAGAGAAGAGGCGAUGGCGGCGAUGGCGGCGAUGGCAUCCCUCGGCGCCCUGGCGCUGCUCCUGCUGUCCAGCCUCUCCCGCUGCUCAGGUAGCGGCCCAGCCGGGGCUUCUUUCUUGCAAGCCUCAGACCCACGGCAGGUGGUGUUGGGGGGAGGAGGGAUGCGGGGGUCUGGCUUUUCAAGGUCCGUCGCUGCGGGCCGGGCCUUCCUCCGAGAGGCAGGCGGCCUUGGGACGGGGGGACCAAAGCACCUCGCGCACGUUUACCGGCAGACAGGCUUUUCCUUGUCUGUCCAUACGAAGAGGAGUCCCCGAGCCUCCAUGGUGCGCCCGGCCCCCAAGCUCCAGCACGGAACGUGACACAUGUCCCCGCUCCCGCUCUCUGCGGGGUCGGACCGGAGCGCAGCUCUGUAGCGCUGAGCGAUCGCGGCCAAAAACGGGGCUGGAGGAGCCACAUAAGCUAGGAAGGGACCUCAGUGAGGAGAGGGAGCAAGAGCGGGGCGAGUUAGAUGGGGAGCCAAAGGUGCGCAGGGCCUUGAGUGCCAGGCCGAAGACUGGCUUUUCCGGAGGGCCCUGCCUUACCCUUACCAGAGUUUUCGGCAGAGCCGACCAGGGGUCCCGUCGAUUUGCAUUCGUGAGGGGCUGAGGUCUGAGCUCCAGAGUGUGUUUAGGAAGUGGCUGCAGCAGCCAGCCCCGGGCCCGGGGGCCAGGACUGGACAGGGGCGGCUUUCUGCACAUUCCCUUUUCUGCCGUCCUUCAGGCCAGUAGCCUUGCUGCCUGCAACGUUUUGGCAGCCUAACUGGCCUCCCUUUCCGCACAGUCCUCAUCUGCCCCUCAGGAAUUCCCUGAGCUAUAGUCAGGGACGUAUCCAGAGGACAAGCCUGGCCAUAAAACCCUUCGGGGGCUCCCCUGCGCCACAGGAAGCAGGCCCAACUUAGGCAGGACACAGAAGGGCUGGCGGGAUCUAGCCCCUGAGAACUGCCUCCACGCUGUUCCUAGGGAUCUGCCUCUUGUGGUCCAGACCCAGAGCCGUCUCUGACGUCCUCUGCUGAAGCCAUCGUUCUGCCGGGGCACCACAUUUGGACAGCGGGUGGCUGGGAACGUUCCCACUUUGGGGAGCCUUUGUUUCACACCCUCUGACAUAGGCGGCAGCCUUCCUUUCCUUUGGGCCUCUGUGGUUACGGAGAAGGAGAAGGAGAAGGCUAAGGCAAGGUCCUUUCUCUCACAGCUAACAAGUUGUGCUUCUGGAACCAGAGCCUUUCCCGUUUACUUCCUCAGGAAACGCUGGGGCCAGUCUUCGCCUUCUGUCAACUGGCCGGGGGCAGAGACCCUUUCUCUCAUCUAGAAAGCCCCAGUGCAUUGCCUGCCUGCAGCCCCCACCCCCGAUGUCUCUGUUGAGGAUGCCUUCAGUAACUCGUCCAGGCCGUUUGUGGCUCUGAAUUGAGGCUGGCCUGGCCCCGGGCCUCCGUGUCAUAGGUCCAAGUGUUGGCAUGUAUUGUCCAGUGAAUCCAGCCCCCACCUGCCCUCAGUUCGCUCUUCCUGCACACCUCCAGAAAGCCGGCCUUGCCCCUCCCCAGCCUUCCUUCACAGCCAUCCCACCUACGUUGCCACUGCAUUUGUGACCGAGCACUUGGAUCUGUCUCGCAUAUCCCACCUGGAAGGGGCAGGAGGAUCCCGUGGGUCCCCAGCUGAUCCGUGCUAUGAGGCAGGGCCGGGCCAUCCUGCCCUCAGACCGGGAUACUCGAGCUGGCCUUACCCAGGCAUCUCUCCCUCUUCCCCGCAGCCGAGGCCUGCCUGGAGCCCCAGAUCACCCCUUCCUACUACACCACUUCUGACGCUGUCAUUUCCACCGAGACCGUCUUCAUUGUGGAGAUCUCCCUGACAUGCAAGAACAGGGUCCAGAACAUGGCUCUCUAUGCCGACGUCGGUGGAAAACAAUUCCCUGUCACUCGAGGCCAGGACGUGGGGCGUUAUCAGGUGUCCUGGAGCCUGGACCACAAGAGUGCCCACGCAGGCACCUAUGAGGUCAGAUUCUUCGACGAGGAGUCCUACAGCCUCCUCAGGAAGGCUCAGAGGAAUAACGAGGACAUUUCCAUCAUCCCGCCUCUGUUCACAGUCAGCGUGGACCAUCGGGUGAGUGGCCUGGUCCCUCCUCCUUUUUGGGGUCGUUGGGCUGAGUGAAGGUUAUCCUCUCCACAGCUCCAGCUCUGCUGCUGGGCCGUGAUUGGCCAGCAUGUCUUGGUUCCCCUGGCGGAGGGUGACCAGGGCUGGCUGGUCUGCUCGCCUGUACUCCCCUGAGCUGGCUGGUGAUCUCCUUUCUUUCAGGGCACUUGGAACGGGCCCUGGGUGUCCACUGAGGUGCUGGCUGCGGCGAUUGGCCUUGUGAUCUACUACUUGGCCUUCAGCGCGAAGAGCCACAUCCAGGCCUGAGGGCGGCACCCCAGCCCUGCCCUUGCUUCCUUCAAUAAACAUCACAGGACCUGGGACUGC